UUCGUGAAUCCAAUAAAGCCCCUAUACAUAUUUUGUAUCCAGGGUGGCGAAUCACGUGAUCGUUGUACGUCAUAUCGCUAUUCCGCAAAGAAGAAAUAAUCAACAAAAAUCGUCGAUUCAAAUCUUCAUAUCAAUGAGCAUGGCCGAUCCAGAAACGGGUGAUUUAGCUAACCUCUGUGGAACUUGUGGAAGAAGUUUUAAGUACAAAAGAAAUCUGUAUACCCAUGAGAAAGAGCAUGCUGGUACUUUGCCGUUCCAUUGUUGUGGAAAGUCAUUCGCUUCUCGCCAAAGUCUACGACGACACAGGUGCAGCGUUCACGGGGAACUGUUUGUACCACAUGUCACAAAUAAUUUUCUACACGAUCAGGCCUAAAUGAACACGAAAGAAAUUAGAAAAAAGACCAGAAAUAUUCAUGUGACAUUUGUGGACUGAAGGCAAGCAAGUACUCUGGGCUGAAGUCUCAUAUGGCAACACAUCAAGAAGAAAAACGGAAAAGAUGCCCUGUGUGUAAUGCAUGUUUUACAUAUUCAAUGAGAAACUAGAGACACAAGUGAUGUAUACCAACAAAAUUAAUAUAAACAUAGUCUCGAGUAGCUGUUAGUACAUGUAACUAAUGUAUGUUUUAAACGAAUAUAUAUCAAUAUAUCCUUAAAAUAUUUAUCCCUGCUUUUACAUUUUGUAUCUCUCCAUUUUAAAAACUCAUUUAAAUAGUAAAACCGCUUUGCAAGUCAAACUGAACGAUUAUGGUAGCUGACUUGGUGGAUUAGCGUAAAAAAUUUUCUUGGUGGAUUAGCAUAUUCACAAAAUACACGUUUUUCCUUUCACUGAUACCCUGAUUACGUAUUAAAUAUGUUUGUUUCGAGUAAUUAGAAAACUUUUGAAGUUUUCUGUGCGAAUACAUGACCACCGGAAUAGAAUUUGUAUAAAAUACAUGCCAAAAAUAACAUUUUCUUGGUGGAUAAGCCAAUGCGAACGGGCCGAGUAGAAAAGGUUUUCCAGGGUGUUUGUAUAUUUAGCGACGGUCUGGAAGGAAACCAUUAACAUGGGUGAUAGAAUACUGUUUUCUCCUUCGCAUGCAACAUAUUUCAUAGAAAUUGGAUGAGAAAUAAAAAACUUACAUUGAUUAGAAGAUUUGAAACGACGAUUUUUGUUGAUAAUUUCUUUUUUGCGGAAUAGCGAUAUGACGUACAACGAUCACGUGAU
rnacentral:lncRNA from 1 species